ACACACACAGAGGUGUAUAUAUGUAUGGGGUACAUGAAAUGUUAUGAUACAGGCAUGCAAUCCAUAAUAAUUAGCCACCACGCCCGGCUAAUUUUUGUAUUUUUAGUAGAGACGGGGUUUCAUCAUGUUGGCCAGGAUGGUCUGGAUCUCUUGACGUCGUGAUCCUCCCGCCUCCGCCUUCCAAAGUGCUGGGAUUACAGGUGUGAGCCACCACGCCUGGCCAUAAAAUUUUUAAAUAAUUUUUAUUUCAUACUUUCACACUAAUUUAAAAGAGGAUAAAAAGAUUACGAGUCUCUUAUGGGUGUACACCUGUAC
rnacentral:lncRNA from 1 species